UAUCGCCGAGCUCGGUAGUGUGAGCUUGUAACUCGAACGGGGGCAUUAAGGUGGCUGGAGGCUGGUCCAGCUCACGGAGUAGGGUAUUUGCGAGAUAUAUUAUGGCCUGCCCAUUCCAAGUAGAGAGUUGGGCCUUGGGCUUCGAGCGAAGGCUUGGAGUUCAUUGCCACUAGAGACGGAGGAAACCGCGUGAGGCUGGUUUCACAGAGCAGCGUAACCUCCCACUCUUGUCGGUGGAAGGAUUACAGGCUAUUUCUCGGUGACCCAUCAAAUACUAUGUGGGUUGUUCUCAACCCAACAUCCACUUUUUAAAAAUUGUAUUAAUAAAUACAAAUAUAUAUAAAUUAAUAAUUAAAGAAGUUACCAGCGAUAAUAAAUUUUGUUCUUGACGAAUUCCUACUAAAAGAUAAUAAUUGAAAAUUUAAGAUGUUUGUGAAAUACAUUUCUCUUCAUAGAUGGGCCGGGUCAACUAAAGAUUUGGGCCUACAAUCUAAUCUCAAAUGAUUGCAUUGGAUAAUCGGACGAAACGGCUUAGAAAACAACCAACCGGCUUUUGGUUUUGAAUGAACGAACAACUGGCGGUUGAACCAAACCAAUGAAUCAAUUCAAUUUCUCACAUUAGAUUGUUUGAUUAACUUUUACCAAUAAAUAAUAAUACGGGAAAUGUUAUAGAUACCAAAAGUUUGAAACUAUUUAUGAGAUAUAGAAAAUAAUAAUAAUAAUAAUGUUAGGAAGAGUUUGAUGAGUUUUGUUGUAUUAUGAAAAUAAUUUCAUUAUUUUGCUAUUCGUGAAAAUGUCCUUAAACAAUAAUAACAUAUUCAAAAAUAAUAUAUUUAUCUAAAAUAAUUAGUCAGGGAAGUUCACUUAUUUUAGGUUUGAGUUAUCCGUUUAAACACAAAUAGCAAUAACCAGUAGUAAAAAAUAUCUUUCAAAUAUAGUAUUAAGAAAGUUUGGAUAUCACCAUGAUUAUGUAUUUUACUAAAUUAUUAUUUUACAUAACUUAUCAUGCAGUAAAAUUUGAUUUUUCCUUUCUUUCUUAUAAUAUUUUAAUAUGGUUUAUGUGGCUGAAGAUAAAAAAAUAAGUGAUGCUUGAGAUGCCAAAAUAUUGUUCUAAUAUUAAUAUACCACUAAGGAGAUGCACUACUUCUUUCUUAGGAAAAAAAAGGUACAAAUAAAGAUGAAAAGUUGAACUAAAAACACUUCUAUUCAUUUGAAAAGUUUUAAUAACAGUUUUGGUUUAAAUACAUUUUCACUUUUAUUCUAAGUCUAAGUUUCUAUUUCUAGGUAUGUGAUUUCCAAUUCAAUCAAAUACCUUUUUAUUCUGAUUAUUUUUACCAUAAAGUACUUUUUAAUUAUGCUUUGACUAGUUGAAUUAAAUAUUCUAAACAUAUUUAGGUAGUGUAAAAGACUUUUUUUUUUCUAAAUAACAAAACGAUCAUGUAACAAAAUAGCAACGUAUCACUAGUAGGCUGCAAUAUACUUCUAUUUGGAUCUAUUGCAAUCUACCGUCGAUUGAAAAAAAAAUAGAAUUUUGUUAUAUUUGUAAGCAUUUUGAUUCAUUUUGCUAUACUUGAAAAUAACCGAAAUAAAUACGUAUUCAAUAUUUGAAAUGUUGAUGUUGUCGAAAAUAUCGAGUGAUUAAUUUUAUAAAAUAUGUUGAGAAAAAUAUCAAUAAAUUAAAAUAUUUAUGUAUUUUGAUAAUUUUAGAAAAAUUAUAAAAACCAAAAAUUCAAAAAUAAAUUGAAAAAAAUGUAAAUAAACACCUUGUGACUUAUAAACAUUUAUCUUAUACAAUUAUAUUAAUAUUAGUGACAUUUCAAUUAAUUUAUCUCUCAUAUUGAUAUUGGAUCUUAAAAUUUUUAAAAUAUCAAUAAAAAUAUGAAAACUACCUAAGGAAAUUUAAUAAGAUAAAAUGUAUAUAACAUGCAAGAAAUUAAAGAGUACUUUCUGCACUAUAUAUCUAUAUGAUGGUAUAUUCAAUAAUGGACCAAAAACACUUGGAUCUUUCUAAGUUUUGUGUUCUUCUCACUCAAUAGCUCAAUUAUUUACUUUAUACUAUCAUUAACUUUUUGUGCUAUCCUUUUAAGGGGAAAAUGAGAUUCACUUGGUUAUUAAUUUUACCCUUAAAAGAUAAGUUUUCUCACAAAAAAGACUUUCUAAAAGGGGUGGAAAUUUGGAACUUUAACCCUAAAAUAAAUUAAACCAAGUGUGUCAUUAGACUCUAUCUAAAAUAAGAUUAAAAAUAAAGUAUAGGUGAAAGGAGUAUAUAUGUAUAUUGUAGAAAAAAUUGUUUUAAAUGAGGAAAUGUUAAAAUUCAAAUAUUUGAGUACUUUCUAAUUUAAAUUAUUUUUAAAUUUAUAAAGUAGAAAAUAUUUAAGUCUGUAGAGAAUUUGAAGAAUAAUAAAUGUAAGAAAAUUAUUGACAUGUGAAAUAAUAUAGAAAAAACAAACACAUUUAAUUUAAAUAGAGUUGGGUAGCAUAUAUAUAUACACACAUAUAGAUAUACAUACACAUUCAUUUAUUUGAGGUUGAUGGUUCAAAAAUAUCAUCAUACUCAUAUUUAUUGUACUUAAAAAGAAGAAGAUAACAAAAGGAGGGAGUGAAGAGCUUAGGUAGAUACCCACUACAUUCUUGUGGUGGGAUGUGAAAUUUUGAUCUACAAAAAGCUAGCACACUUUUAUUGGUAAAUUUGUAAUUUAGAAAAGAAAAAAUCUAAAGAAAAAAGAAGACGAAACUAUGAUUUCUAAGUAUGAGAAUUAUAUAAUAUAGAGAGAAGAGGUUAGAAGACUAAGUUUUAGUUCUUGUCUCUUCAAUUAAGAUACUCUAUUGUGGAGUUUAAAAUAAUAAUGUAUCUACGAAGAGAAUGAGCCGAGCUGUACACUAGGGGUGAAAUCAGUCAGCCCAUAUUUUCGGGUUAUUUGGGUUGACAAUUGGAAUAACUUAAAUUUAGUUUCUAACCCAACCCAAGUAGUAAAAUAUAGGUUGGGUUGGGUUGUAUAGUUUUUUUAUUUUCUUUUUGUUUCUAGUUUCUAAUAGUUACAAAAAUUCAAAAUUGUUACAUUUAAAUUUCAAACAUACAUAAUUCAAAAUUUCAUACAAUAAAUUCAAAGUUUAUAUACCUAAUUUUUUCUUUCGGAUUGGGUUGAGUUGAACUGAAUUUUUCAACCCACCAACCCGAGACCCAACCCAACCCAUAUUAUGGGUUGGGUAGUCCGGAUUAUCUCAUCCUUGUGAUCUUUCGUAAUCAUAAUUUAUAAUAAGAUCUUAUCUUACCUUUGUCUUUCUUGAUUUUCUACCUAUUUCAUCAAGUCCAUGUUAACUCACAACAUAUACAUAUAUACUUUCGACUAAAUAUGUUAAUUGUACAUGCAUCUCAAUAUUAAUUGGCUAUUCAAGAAUAACAAUUCAUGUAUUAUAACUGUCACACCUUAAACUGCAAUUCGACCAAAACAUCGAAGUAAUGGGAAUAAGAUUCGAUUUAGUUACAACAUUGAUUUUUUUUAUCGACUAAUUCAACCUCAAUUCCUUUUACACUACCAAGAGAAAAUAUAACGCAACAGAAGUCGUCUCGAACGCCAAACAGAUUCAAAGACAUUCUUAAUGUGAAACACUUAACAUGAUCAAUUUAGCCAAAACUUACACUUUAUUAAUAACAAGUGUUUAGACAAACAUAAUUUACAACACUUUGACUUAAAGUUACAUUAAAUAAACUCAAAAACACCUAGUAACUUUCUCAUCUCGUUGUAAAUCCUUCAACAUUCUUCUAUACUUGGUCUAAACGCCUGAUCCUGGAACAUAUAUUUUGAAAACGUAAGUAUAAAUAACUUGGUGAGGUUUUAAUAUGAAAUCCUUUUCGCAAUGCUAUUUGAUAAAUCCUUGUUGCCAAAUCAUAAAUUCCAACACAAAACAGUUAUCAAUAAACACUUCAUUUCGCAUAAACCUUUCUUUAUGCUUAACAAAUCAUUUUGCCAAGGAUCCCGAAUCACUCUCUGCGGCAAGUCACGUAACUUCGUGUUUAUACUAACGACUCAUCAACAUCCAAGAGUAUCCUGAUUCGUCCUUGUUGCUCAGGUCGCUAAGCAUUAUGCGCUCCUUUUAACGCAUAAGCCAACUUCUUCACCACGUAGUUCUGUACACUCAUGGUGGCCUUUAACUCUUUAUGUGCACAUAAAAGUUAACUUAUUCAAAGGAAGUAGCUAAUGAUUUGGAAACUAUAUCAUAAACAUUAAGAUCAAAUUAUGCUUUGAACAUCAUAACAUUUUUUCAUAUAAAUCUAUAUUGUAAAUCAUUAACUCAAAUUAGUAGAGAUUUAUGAGAAAAUAUUUGACAUAAAUUAUUAAGAAAAACACUCAAAAAAUUUUGAAAGAAAAGCACUCACUCUUCAACUUUCCUCUUCUCGCAAAGUUUUCUCGCAGAGACCAAGUGACAGAACUUUAGCAUUUCAACAAAACUCCCAUCAUUCUCUACUUAGUUACCAAAAUCCUCUAUUUAUCCUACCCUUUUAAUCUGGAUUAGUCAUCCCUAGUUCUUUAUCUGAUUGUCAUCUCCUGCUUCAACCUUACACUUGUAAAAUUUCUAUUUGUUUUUUAGUCAGACUUAAAACCUUAAUCUUACACGUUAAACCUUGUCAAAUCAGAUUUGACAUCUUCUCAUCUAAUAUCACUUCGCGAAUAACUCUUCAACCACUUAACAGCUUCCCAAAGUCUUAUCGCAUAACUUCUUUCAAGAACUACCAACUUUUCUCGCUAAGAAUUUUUCUUUUGUGAGUGUUUAGACUUAGAAGAUCUUACCAUAAAUCCUUCUCGUGGAUUGUUUGACCUUAAGCUCUCGACACGUACAAUAAAGCUAAAACGCCUUCUUGUCCAAAAUGCCAACUUACGUACUUAGUCAAAAUUUUGUCUUCUGACUUUUAAUUUAGGUUUGGAUCUUACAAUAACAAUCUUUUAAAGAUUGUGAGGUCUUAUAGUAAUCAAUUUUCAAUGUAUAUGUAUAUUACACUCUCUCAAGGAAGUACCUCCUUGCAUUCACCAUUUUUAGGUCAAAUCUCAACUUUUGUUAAAAAUCAUUUACUUAUGUUGGGGUUUCGUUAUAUUAGAUAAACAUGAAAUUCUAUCUCAAAACUAAUGUGUGAUUAGUAGAUGAAUAAUAGUUCAUGAAUCGAUUGUGUUAUGGAAUAAAAAUAAAUAACAAAGAAGGUAAAACAAUAGUUAACAAAUCAACACAUAUUUACAUAGUUUACUAACAGUACUGAGCUAGGUAUGUCAACAAGCAAAGAAAGAUAACAAAUUAAUUUUGUGAGAAAAAAACAACAACAAAUAUAAUACGUAAAGAUCAAAUGCGCUUCUAAAGUUAGAGAGUUUAUAUAUACAACACAUGUACUUCUUUCUAAACCCUAGAGUUAAAAGAUUGUAAGGUCUCUUCAUCUAUUUCGAUAUCAUUGUCCGAUAUCAUUGUCCGAUAUAUAUAGAAUAUAUAUGUGGGAAAAUAAAUAAUAAAUGUGGAGUUUAAUUGAAACAGUGUUUGGACAUUAUUUCACAAGACAGUGUCAUUGUCACCUUUUGGAUUGUCUGUUUGGUGUUAGCAAUAUUAAAAGAAAAUUCUGUUUGCCUCUCUUUUUUCUCUCAUCUUCCAUACCUUUUGCCUUGGGUUUUUUCAGGCCCCCCCUUUCCUUUCUUCUUCUUCUUCCUUCUUCCUUUUUUCCUUCUUAGGGUUUCUUCCCCCAUCUUAUAUAUUUACCCUAAGCUCAAAUUAUAUAUAAUUUAAUUUAUAUAUAUAAUAUAUAUAUAUAUGUAUGUAUGCAUGUUUAUGUCCUUUCUCCCCUUAAUUAAGAGCUUCUUCUUCAAACAUCAAAUUUCUGGAGAAAGAAGGAUCAAAAAGCUAGGUAAACCCUAAUUCUAACUUUUUCAUACUUAAUUAAUUUUAUGAUAUGUAUGUAUAUAUAUUAUAUAUAUUAUGCUCAACAAGAACUUUGUAAAGAUCUCCUUGAUGGUUUUAUUUUUUCCCUUUUGAGAUUUUUUCCUUGGAGUCACUUAAUUAAAUUAUAAUUACUUCAUUGAAAUUAUUUUGAUAAUUUGUACUUGUCCUGCCUGUUUACCUAAAAAAACUAUUAAAUUGUAAUUAAGAUGAAACACAGAUCCUGCAGAAUAUGUGUUUAUUAAAUACUACGAUUUAUAAUGUUUUUUCUUUUUUCUUUUUUCUUUUUUCUUUUUUUAUAAAAAAACUAAGAAUUCAUAAUGUUUUAGUACAAAGGAAGGUGUGGGAUUUUUAAUGUUUCAGCUGAAACAGUAAUGUGUGGUAUGUUUUGUACAGUGAAGAGAAAUAAAAACUAGACAAUAUAAUUUAAAUUCCACAAACAAAAAAAAGAAAAGAAAAGAAAAGAAAAGAAAGAAAGAAAAGAGUAGGGUGUGUCUAAGAACAAUUUAAAGUGUAUUGUAUUUGUGAUGUAAUAUUUAAUAAAUUAUGUACUACUAAAUGUAGCACAGUAGGAAUAGACCUAUCUAUUUACUAUUGUAAUAUUAUAAAUAUACAGCAAAAGAAAAUGAAAUUAAUUUACAUUUUCUAUAAAGUUUUAUCUCAAGAUUAGUUGACAAAUAAGAAGAUUAAUUUCAUGCAUCUUAUAAAAAUUGUGAUAUAUCGUAAGUAUCUAAUUGUUAUCUGUAAAUGUGUAACAUGAUGAAGAUAUAUAAGGCAAAAACACUUUUAAGAAACAGAGAAGAAAAUCAAUAAGGGAAAUCCACUCAUUCGAGUUAGAAAGCACUUUUUCUUCUAUCUUGUAUACUCUCACAUGCAAAUAAAAUAUUUAUAAAAAUAAAAAUAAAUAGACUUUUAUUUAAGUGUCUAGUGAUGAUAUUAUAUUAAAAAUGGAUAAAAAUUUAUCAACGUUUAUUAUCGAUAAAAUAUGUAAUUUUAUUAUAUUUUAUAAGUAUUCUUGUCAUUCAUAAUAUUUUUCCAUUUUUUUAUGUAUAUAUAUAUAUAUGAGAUAAAUUCUUCUAGAUAGAAAAAAGAUUGAAACUAUUUUUUAAAAAAAACUUAGGUGCGUCGGGAACAAUUUAAUAGAUCAUUUUACUAUAUUUUGUAAAUAAUUUUUUUAUAUUAUCUCACGAUUCCUUAUAUAUAAAUACAAAUUAAGUAAAAGACAAUUAUAAAGCAAUUAAAUUAAAUAUAGAUUGACACCAAGUCCCAUUAAAAACCUAAUUUAAUUCUUUGAAAAGUAAUCUUUAUUAGUUUAGAAAACCCAAUUUAACAAUGAGAUUAUUGGUGUCUCAUUCCCCAACCAAUUUGAUAUGGAAUUGUACAGUGUAAAAAGGGUUAAUGCAAAAGCAAACCCCAUUUGUGUACUUCAGUAAUUUUAAAAAGGAUUUGGUUUAAAAAAGUGGAGAAGGGGAUGAAUGAACCCUUCCUUAUUUGCAUACAUUUCUACCCAAAAUAUUAUUCAUAUGCAACAAAAGAUAAAGCUUUUUAGAUUUAUGUUAGCUACUUUAGGUACAGAAGUUAUUCCAUCGUUAAAAAAAGUUAUAUUAUAAUUCACUAUUGAAAGCCCUUACCAAUUAAAAAAAAAAAAAUCAUAUACAAACUAUACUGAUAACUACAUUAUUUUUAGGUGUUUUUUUUUUAAAAAAAUAAAAUUAACAAACUAUUUAUACUCGAUCAAAAUAAAAUUUAUUAAAGUUGGUUUUUAUGUGAACGGUAAAUACAUAUCUGGUCAAAUAUUACAUUUUUUACAAUUUUCAUAAUUUUUUUUAAAUGCUUAAUUCUAUUACAAGAACAAAAGAAUAAAAUGAUAUUGGUGGAUAUUCUCCCAUAUAAUAUAUAUUGUUUGGUUUUGUUGAUAUAGAAGGAAAAAAGAAAGAAAAAGAAUAUGGCUUCUUCAAGCUACACAAACUCACCAUGUGCAGCAUGCAAAUUCCUAAGAAGAAAAUGCUUAGCUGAUUGCAUAUUUGCACCCUAUUUCCCCCCUGAAGAGCCAACCAAAUUUGCCAAUGUUCACAAGAUCUUCGGAGCCAGCAAUGUGAGCAAGCUUCUCAAUGAGGUUCAGCCCCAUCAGCGCGAGGAUGCUGUAAAUUCUCUAGCUUAUGAGGCCGAGGCUCGUAUGAAAGACCCUGUCUACGGCUGCGUUGGGGCCAUCUCCGUUUUGCAACGACAAGUUAUUCGUCUCCAAAAAGAGCUCGACGCUACAAAUGCUGAUUUGGUACGAUAUGCGAGCGGGAGCGCCCGGCCGCCCUCGCAAUAUGGAAGGAGAGCAACAACUGCCUCGGUGAGUACUCGCCACCAUUCUGGUCUGUCUUUUCUUUCUCCUUUGAGUAGUAGUCAUCAUGAUAGUACUUAUUGCCAUGAUAAAGAGGAAGGCAAUUGAAAAUCUUGUAUGAAUUUGUGAGAGAUUUUUUUUUCUUCUUUUUCUUUGGGGUUUUCCAUUAAUUUGUUCUGCCAAUCCCCUUGUUCCUCUUAUGUUCCAAGCUUUUUUUUAUGGGUAUAUUUUUCUCUCUUGAUCUAUAACAGUGGUGGUUUUUUUUUAAUGCAAUAUUAGUUCUUGUAUCUAAAUUAUAUUUAAGGGUUAUUAGAUCAUACUUUGAGCAUAAUAACAACGAUGACUUGAUUAUAUAUUCAUAGGGAUUUGGAUUAAUAUAAGGUUGUUAGUGUGAACAUACUAUUUUUAGUCUCCUAAAUUCCACAGGCUUUUUAUAAUUAUAAUGUUGGGUUAUAUAUUUAUAUAAAUAUAUUAAUAUAUUACAAAGAUGGUAAUGUUUGAUUAUAUGAAAUGCUUCCAUCAAAUUGUCCUUUUUUGAUAAGUGCUUUCGGUGUGUCUGUUUCUAUGACUUCGCUAAUCUAAAAAGGGUUAUCUGUUUGUUUAUUUAUUUAUUUAUUUUCACGCAUGUUAUGAUGGAAAGAUUCUGUGUUUAGUUUUUAAUUUGAAAUUCAUUUGUGACUGAGAAAAAAAGGAUUUCUUUUAUUUUUAAAUUCAUUAAUCACAAGAUUUAUUAUCCUUUUGCUUCUAUGUAUAAGAUAAUUUUUUUUUACAUAUGUUGUGAUUUAUUUGAUAAGUAAUAUAAUAGUGAGUCUUUCUUUUAAACAAAAUAUACGUAAUAUAAGGGUUUCCUCUUUUUUUUUUUACAUAUCUAAUUAUUUAUUUGAUAAGUAAUAUAAUUAGAUACACCCCAAAGUUACUUCUAAGCAUAUUUUAAUAAAAGAAUAUUGGUGAUAUUUAUUACUGUUUGAAUUGAUUUUCUAAAAGAUUAUAUUAAUUCUUUUUUUAUAUAACACUUAUUUGAAUAUAAUUGAUUGAUAAAUGUGGUUGGAUGGUAAUAAAAAAUCUUGUAGCAUUGUCAAUUAACAAGAUGAGAAAAACGAAAAAGAAAAUUGUAGCUAUAUGUUAAUAAGAGAAUGAUCCGUAUAUACUUUUCAGCUUCAUACACAAUAAUUCUGCCCCAACCUAAGUUUAAAAUCAAACUCAUGUUUUUAUCAAUAAAUUUGAUCCAAAAUGUCAAAAGGGUCAUUCCCUCAUCAUGUGUAUUUACUUAGUUUCAUGCUUUGGAUUUCAAUUUAAUUCAUUGCAAAGAUUUCAUAUAUGAAAUAUGUUAAUACUAAAAUUGUGGAAUUAGGACUAAAUGCACAUAUCACAAUUAUUUUGGACUCAGUAUUCAUAUUCAAGCACCACCAAAUCUAAAAAAGUCGAUUUGAAAUAACAUCGAAAUUUAAAAUUAGAAUCAUCACAAGUUGUUCUAGUGACUGUGAGAGUGGAUGACUUUAAUGGAGAGCUAAGAAAGUCAAGUUUUCAAUCUAUCAUGAUCACCUACCUAGUAUUUAAUAUUCUAUGAGUUUUAUUGACACUUAAAUGUUGUAUGGUCAGAUAGGUUAUCUCAUAAAAUUGUCAGUAAUGACUUUGGACUAAUGUUCAAAUAAAGGUUAGUCCCACCCUUAAAAGGGAUAGAAAUACAAAAAUGUGUAUUUGAGUUUUCAAAUUCUUGUUGUGAAACGGUGUGGAAUGGCUACCCUUCCAUUUAAAAUUUUACCUUUUUAUUAAAUCACCUUUCAUCAAAUUUAUGAAAUAAUUUUCCUUUCAUUCCAUUUUUUUCUUGGAAAAGUGCACCUAAACUCAAAUUUUACUUCCAAGACAGCAAAUCUUCCCCGCACAACUAUAACACGGCGAAGCUAUUGUAACAGUAAGUUUGGCUUGGGCUCCGGAUUAUGAAGAAAAGGUAAAAAUUAAUGGAGAAGAUGUGAAUGGUUGGCAAAGGGUGUGGUGAGGGCCUAAUGUACAUGUAAACCCUAAUUUGUAGAUAUAAUAAAGGUAAAGAGGGUGGUAGGGUCUCAAUUCUCAGCACACCACCGUCCAAAAAGUCCUUUCUGCCUACCCCACGCCGCUGCAUGGAGGGGCAAUUCUUCUUCUCCAAACCCACAUAUUCUACACCUUUAACUUCCACUCUUUACUCACUUUCUCUAAUAUGGGAACUCUUUUUCAAUUGUGUAUCUCAGUUUUUUAGAAGAAAAACAGUGGUCUCAUUUUAAUGCCAAUGUCAGAAAUGGAACAACUAGAUGUUGAAUAAGUUAGAAAUUGAAAGCCCUCUCAUAAAAAUGACUCAUACGUAAAUUUAAUCUUAUAUCGAAUUAAUUGAUCUAACUUUCAAAUUCCUAAUGUUUUUUUUUUCUUUUUUGUAUAAAAACUUCCAAACGUGGUGAGGUCAAAGGAGAGAAGUAGAGUGAGAAGAAGCACUAAAGCUCUUUCUAACUUCCUAAAUAAAAUUAAAAGAGAUAAACAUAACCAAGCAAAAUUUAGAUUUUAUGAUGGUUUCUUUAGAAAUAAUGUUAUGAUGAUUUUAAGGAUUAUAGAUUUUUUUUCUCUAAAGAAUAUGUAUUAUUCUUGAUUAGAUAAAUGAUAAGAUUAAAGGUUUACGUUGAACAAAUAGAAAAAUGAGAGGAAAUUUUGCAAAAGUAGAAAAAAUUAUUCGUGAUAAUAGAUCUAUGCUACUUACAAUUUUAAAAUUGCAAAAAUAGAAAUUUUUGCAGAUUAGUAUCAAAUUAUUGUUUGAUUACUGUUAUAUUUGUCAAAUUUGCAAUCUGAAAAAGUAGGAGUGUUAUGAACUUUUUUUAAAAAAAAAAAUUUGUAACAUGUAAUUGUUCAAGAAAAAAUUCAAUUAUUGAAAUAAAAAAUGGAAUAAAUAAUAAAAUAAAAGUGCCGUUGUUAUAAAAUUUAAUUAAUUUGCAGUUCGUUAUUAACUCAUUAAAAAUGACAUAACAGAAUUAUUAAUCAUUCUUUUAAAAACAACUUGAACAAUUUUACUUUUUUUCAUUUUUAUGAAAUUCCAUAUAGAUAUAUAUUUUAAAAAAAAUAUAAUUCAACGUUUAUCUACUUUUUUAAAUGCUAAAAAAAAUGGAGAAAAAUCUUUUGUUUUAAAUAACCUGAAAUAUUUAAAAUAUGUAUAAAAUAACAAGAAUUAAAUCAAUUGGUUUAUGCUGAAUUUAAAAUAAUAAAAAUGAAUAAGAUACAAUGUAAAAAUGUAUUUCUAAAGGAGUAAAUAUUAAAUAACUAUAAAUAUUAACUAAGAAUAAACAAAUAACAAUGGUUUAAUUGGAAUGUAAAAUGAUAAGAAACAAAUAAGAAUAAGUGAUGUAAAUAAUUGCCCAAAUAAUUAAAUAAAUCAUAUAAGUAAUAAAUAUAUUGAUAAUUUAAUAAAUCUAGAUUUUAAACAAUACGUUAUUUACAAAAAUCAGUUGGUAUUCCAAAUUUAAAUCCAUUUGGUAGGUUAGAGUCUUAUAUCCAACCAACAAAAAUAGGGUGCAUUUCAGUAAUUCAACAGAUUUCUUUGGGCUCAUUACAUCUGUUUUUGGGCUUAGACAUCUACUGGCCCAGUCUUUAGUAUUGGAAAAACUGGCCACAGAAUAGAUGAAUGGAUUUUUGUAAUGGCAAAUUGGACUCGAUUAAGGAUAUAGCAACCUUUUAGAAAAAUUAUAAAUAUAGCAAAACUAUAACUGAUAGACUUGUAUCGCUGAUAGACUUCAUAUAAUAUAUUUGCAACAUGGUCUAUCAGUGAUAGACUUAUAUCAUUGAUAGAAUUUGACAAUUUUUGCUAUAUUUGUAAAUUUUUUUAAAUUGUGCUAUAUACUUAACUAAUUUGAAUUUAAUUGUUAAAUUUGCAACUAUCCCUUUUUUAAUUGUUCUAUGAAGACUUCAAUUUUAGAGUAAUUGUCAAUUGCUAACAUUUUUAAUUAAUAAUUAAAUGUACAAUAAUUUUUUUUAAAAUAGCAAAAUCUAUAGAUGACAAACUCUACUAUUAGUGACGUGUACAGAUGAUAUAAUAUUUACUACGUCAUAGUAUUUUAUAGAUCAUAGUUUGAUAGUUCUACAAAUAGUCUACUAAAGUUAAUUAAUAAUAUGUAUCUAUCUUUUAAUAUAAUUAUAAUGUUUUAACAACUAUACUAAUUUUUAAAAUAUCUUAUUAAAAUUAAAAUUUCUAGGGUUUCUUAAAAAACCAAUCUUUUGCAUAGAUAACUGAAUAUAAAAAAAAGUUAAUGCCACCUGGACAAGGUGUGGUUGCUAUUAAUGCAAUGAUUUUUUUUUUUGUUAUAUGAUUUUCUAUUAUAUUCAUUUUAGCUUAAAAAUUGGCCCGUCAUCAACGACUCAACCAAGUCCAUUGACCAACCAAGUUAACAUGAAAAUUGUACCAAAUAAAAAAUUUCAUAGUUCAUAACUUUUAAACUAGAGAUUCUAAAUAUCAUUAUGUCAAUCAAUCAUAAGAUUCUUUUACUCAUCGAAUGGAACACUUUGAAAAUAGAAAUCCAAACAUGAUAAGUGGCUAUAUAUUUAUUGGAUGCAAAGCUAGAUGUUCUACUAGGGUCCUUGCAAAAGCACACGAGAAAAGCUAACUUAGAUCAAACCUAAAACCGAUAAUGAUUACUCAAAGAUUCUAGGACACAAUUCACUCUAGAAUUAGCUUGAUCAAAACUAAUUAACGAAAUUGAUUUUAACAUCAAAUCCAAUGCAAUAUUUGAAAGAAAACACAACAUCCACCGGGUAGAAUAACACAUACAUUUUAAUAUUGAUAUUAUGAGUUUUAGAGAUCCUUACAAACGAUUUUAAAGGCUCAAAUGGUCGUACAAGAAAUGGAAACUUAAAAUUAAUUCAAAUAUACUAAAAUGUCAACUAUAGAAAAUAAUGCCUAUAAACAUAAAACACGAUAUUGCAUAUUAAAUUAUAAGCCAAAUUGAAAAACAAUAAGUGUAAAAAGUUUUCAAAAUGUCUUAAUUAUCUUCUCUAAAAUGUGUCAAAGUGGUUGGGACACGAUAGACAAGGUUUGACAUCACGUUUUUUCAUGUUGUGCACAAUUGACAACAUCUUUCUCACAAAAUCUACACAUUUUUUUUAUCCUUCGUGUCAUAUUCGAAACUAUUGGACUUUUUUCGUGUCAUCUUUACUUCAUUCUCAUCUUAACUCAUUGAAUUAAAGAACAUUGUAUAUUAAAUUUAGUUCAAAAUUAUUUGUUGAUGGAUGAGAAUUUAAUAGAUUUGAAAGAUGUAGAGUAAAAGCGUGUUGGAUCUUGUUUAUGUUGCUUCUUGUAAUUGCUCUUUUGGAUCCAAGUAAUGGAUCAAUUGAUGGAACCACAUGAGACUAUAACUUUGAAUUGAAUAAAGAGAUGUGUAUAUUAACAUCAAGACAAAAUUUGGUCAUCUUUUGCACAUCCUAACUUGCAUUUGAUGAAAUAUUGUCAAAAAAUAGUAUUAUUUUAAUAUAUAUAUAUAUAAUUUGUAUGAUCAAAGAAGGAAUGCAUAAUAUUUAGUUUGCCACCUAAUCAUUUCUCUUCAUUAUUAAGUUAAAAUAAACUCUUUUAAUUAUAAGAGACACUCCACUACGAAUCUUCUGAAUAAAUUUAAACAGAUAGCAAGACAACUAUGAAUAUUGUUUUCUUCCUCCUUACAAUUUCAUGUCUCCAAUUUUUUAAAAUCCAGUGUAGAAGUAUUCUCAAUAAUUUAACCAAUUAAACGACAAUUCUAAAUAUUUUUAUUCAAAUAUACGAAUAUGAUCUCUUUAAACAGAAUUAUUAUUUUCUUUUUUCAUUUUGAACAAUGAAACACAUAACUUGGAGUGAAACUUGUAGUUCAUGCAAACCCUCAACUCUCCAAAUCACACAUCUACGUGUCACCCUCUUCCCAUCUCUACUACUCUUUAUAUCCUUCCACUUUCCCCUUCACUUCUCUCUCAACUCCGAACACCGCUCUCCGCCGUACUCCUCCAACAUGGGUGAUCGAUCACCGCCUCGCCAAGUCCAAGUCCACCCCCAACAACGCUCUUACCUCCAGGACCCCACUUGGAAAAUAUCCGGUGGCGGCCGCCAUGUAGACCACCACCAACAUCAAGGCAGCGGCGGCGGCCCCUCCGCUUCGAAAAUCAUUGCCGUCGUCACCCUCGUCCCCGUUGGUGGCACUCUCCUCGGCCUCUCUGGCCUCACUCUAGCCGCCACGCUCUUCGGUCUCGCUGUGUCGACGCCUGUGUUCCUUCUCUUCAGCCCAGUGAUCGUACCGGCUGCGUUAGCAAUAUGCCUUGCCAUCGCUGCAUUCUUGACGUCGGGAGUGUUCGGGCUCACAGCGUUGUCGUCACUAUCGUGGGUGUAUCGGUACAUCAGACGGGCGACCGGGACGGUGCCGGAGCAAAUGGACAUGGCUAAGAGGAAGAUGCAGGACAUGGCAGGGUAUGUGGGACAAAAAACUAAAGAAGUUGGACAAGAAAUUCAAAGUAGAACACAAGAUCAAGGAAGGAGAUCAGGCACAACAGAACAAAGAACUUAACUAAUUAAAAAAAAAAUGUGUUGAUGAUGUAUGUGUUUGUUUCUUUUCUUCUCUGUUUUGUGUGUUCUUCUUUUUUCUUUUUUUUUCUUCUCUCUAUUUUCUUGUUAAAUAAAAAAAUGGUUUAAUGUUUGGAUGUAAAUUUUCCUUUUGGUUGUUAUGUAUUUAAUAUAUGACAGUUUGUUUUCCUUUGAAUUUUAACAAUUUCUUUUGGGCGUAUGUCGUGUAGUUUUUUUUGUAUAAAUUGGAAGGGAGGAGUUGAAGAUCUUUUGUCCCACAUCGACUACAUUGACAUUUGGGAUUUCCUUUAUACAGGGCAUGCGGUAUGCUUAUUAUCGCCGAGCUCGGUAGUGUGAGCUUGUAACUCGAACGGGGGCAUUAAUGUGGCUGGAGGUUGGUCCAGCUCACCGAGUAGGGUAUUUGCGAGAUAUAUUAUGGCCUGCCCAUUCCAAGUAGAGAGUUGGGCCUUGGACUUCGAGCGAAGGCUUGGAGUUCAUUGCCACUAGAGAUGGAGGAAACCGCGUGAGGCUGGUUUCACAGAGCAGCGUAACCUCCCACUCUUGUCGGUGGAAGGAUUACAGGCCGUUUCUCGGUUGCCCAUCGAAUACUCUGUGGGUAGUUCUCAACCCAACAUCCACUUUUAUUUUUUAUUUUUUUUAAAGAAAAAAUGAUAUAAAAUGCUGCCUGCUAAGACGAUUACGAAAUCUUUCAUUUUUAUUUCACUGUGAGGAUCUCCUACAAACAAAUUCUUUACCAAUACUCUGGGUUAAUACCACCGUUCUUUUGCCUUUUCGUUUACCAGAUUUUCAUAAAUUUUGAAGAUACAGAUCUGUUCUUAGUUUUCAAGGAAAGUAGUGAUCCCAUCUGCUUAAAAUUUUCAGUCCUGCCCUCUUGGUUUUCUGCUAACUUUGUGUGAGAAUAUGCUUCGAUAGCCCUCUCUUACUGUGGCUUCAAAUGGAAGAUUCCGAAGACAAAUGUCCAGAGCUGUCUUUAACCAAAACAACCAGACAAGUAAAAGCAGAAAAGUUAUAAGAGUUAACAUAGAGAUAGAUAUAUGGAUCCCUUUUAUUUGAGUCAUAUUUCUCAUUUUAUGAUAUCAUCAACAGUGAAGCUACCAUAAAAAAUGACAAAAGUGCCCAAAGCACUCAGUUUGUUGUACCUUGGUACUAGGUCUGAGUGACCCCUUAUGAACAUCGAGUCCCAAAAUCUCAUAGCAAAAGGAGUUUCUGACAUUUUCAUCUUUCAAUUCCCAGUCUUCAAAUCCAUCUCUCGACUCUCAACUCACACCUAAAUGAUCCAAGAAUCACAAAAUGAAUAUGCAUUGAAUGAAUGAGGUUAGCUCGGGAAUGAUCUUGUCGAGCGCCUUUGCUAUAAGUCUUUCCUUACACAAAACUUUGAAAUUAGUUGGAAUGAUUCUCAAUAAUGUUUAUUAUUAGAAGACAAAAGAAAUAUAAUUGACUUUCUCAUUGAAAAAGAGAAUUAGUUACAGUGGAGGAAGUUAUCAAACAUUAACAUCAUAAAAACAGAAUGUAAGUUUCUCUAAUACUACUCCCCCUUAAAAGGUGGGGGCAAAGGUGGGGGCAAAUAUGUCUUCAACACCUGAACUAAUUUUAUGGGACAAUCCGCUACAACAUUUGGGUGUCAAGAAAACUUGUACGAAAUGAAUGGAAACUUGUACGAAAUGAAUGGAAGAAAACUAUUGAAGUCUUACGAAAUGAAGUUUUAGUUUGGUGACCACUAUAUAUUAAACUCACGAUCUUUUUGUUAAUCUUUUAACUUUUUACUUCUAAGUUAACUCAUGGUGGUUACAAAACGGUUUCUAUUUAAUAAAAGUUUAUAUGUCAACAUUUGAGUCCCAAGUCACAAUACAUAAAUGAUGGAUAUAAAUAAAUUAUUCAACUUAUCCACGUAUAUUUAGAAAUUUUAUAGAAAUUUUAUUUUUAUUGAUAAUCAAAAAUGUAAAUUACAUAAAUUAAUUGUAAUGUCUUUGUGACAAAAUUUAAUCAAACUAACUCAUCUCAUGGUCCACCAGUUCUUCAACUACCUUCAAAUUUGGUGAGCUCCUUCAAUCGGUCCGGAGUGCUUCUGAGAGGAGAGAGAAAGUCGUGAUGAGCGUUUGAGAGAGAGGAAUAAAUGUCACCGCAAAAGCAUUUGCAAGAGAGAGACAACGACGAUGUGGGAUGAAGUAAGGUUUUUUUUUUUUUUUUUUUUUUUGUCGUGGUUUGCAAGGCAAAUGAAAAUUUUGAUUUUUUUUUUCUAAGUCAGUAAGCGUACGAUUGAAGGAAAACAUUUAUUUUUUAUUAGGGUAAUUUUUAAUCACACAUAAUUUAUGUUGAUAAUUAACGACGUGAAAAUUGUGUAAAGAAAACUCAAUUUGGGUCAAGAAAAUUGUGUUACGAAAAACUUCGCAUUUUUAUUUUUAACGACAAAUUUUAUUUCCUACCACCAUUUUUUUAAUUUCAAGUGUCAUGUAAACUAGUAUUUCUAAAUAAAUUUAUUCGACACUAGUGGCUAGAUUGGUGGAUCCGACUGCGAAGGCUUGUUGUGGCGGCAACUACGACAGUGGUUGGAGUGUGGAAUUGACGGCGGCGAGUGGCAAAAAAUAGGAAGGAGAGGGUACUUCACAACAACACGGUAGCCCACUUCCUUCCACGAGAUUUUAUUUCUGUUUUGGUAGAGAGAGAAAAUUUUCUUUAAGGUUUUGUCCGAUGACAACGUUUUUGCGUGAGAGAAAAUUUUGGGUUUUUAUUUAGUUUUAAUUGAGGGAGGGAGGGAAAUUCACAAAUUUGAAAUUUGGGGGUUUUUCCAUUUGAAUUUUUUUUAAUGACACCAAAAAUUUGUCGUUAAUUAAUGACGUAAAAAUUGUGUCAAAACAAAUUAAAUUAUGUCAAUAGGAUUGUGUCAAGAAAUAAUUCGUAUUUUUAUUUUCGACGACAAAAUUUACCUCACCCACAUUUUUUAAAAAAAUUUCAAUGACACAAUGUCUUGAUUAGUAGUGUCAUUAAAACACAUUUUUCUAGUAGUGUCCAUCUCAAACAAAAUGACAAUCUAGCUUGAUGUGUUUGGUUCUUUCAUGGAACACGAGGUUAUUUGCAAUGUAGAUGGCAACUUGAUUGUCACAAAAUAGGAGGGCUAAAGAUGGAGCUUUAAUUUGUAGUUCAUUAAGAAGGUUGUGAAGCCAUCUAACUUCACAUGUAGUGACGACUAGAGCUCGAUAUCCAACUUUUACAAAUGAUCUUGCUAUUGUCUGUUACUUCUUUAAUUUUCAUGAAACGAGGGAGUUUCCAAGGAAAACACAGUAUCCUAUGACUGAGCGUUGUGUCUGGUCAGGAGUCCCAAUCUACAUUAGCGAAGACAUUGAUUAAGAAAUCUCAAACUUUAGAUAGCAUGAUGCCUUUUCUAGGGCAUCUUUUGAGGUAUUUGAUUGAAUGGUGGCUUCAUUCAUGUGGGUUAGGGUUGGUUUAGCCAUGAAUUGGCUUAGUCUAUGUACUACAAAAGUGAUGUCGGGCUGUGAUAUGGUUAUACCCGAGUGCUCGCCGUCAAUCAGAAAAUUGAGGUAAAUAGAAGUAUGUUUAACCUAUUGAUUACUUCAAGUUAAGUUGAAAAUGUUGUUGUGUUUCCUUUCUGUGCAUCAUUUUGAUUCAUAAACUGAGGGUGGACUUGAUCUUUUUGACAUACACUACAAGAAACAAGGCUAUUUCCAACACAUAAAAACAAAAAGAAAAAAACCACCAAGUAUGUCGGCCAAAGUAAUACCAACGUCACAUCCUAUGUCAGCAAGAACGUCGGAGAAAUUGUGUCGAUGUAUAUGUUUUUUUUAAUGAUGUUAUUUAUUUAAUUUUUAAUUUUUUGUUUUUGUUAUCGUUAGGUAUUGUUUUGGUUCCGCUUUGCAAGGAAUGAAAACAAAUUGCAUUAAAUUAUGAAAAUUAAAAGAUUUUAAUUUAUAAUAAAAUAAUAUACACGAAAGAUGUAUAACAAAAAUUACAAACAAUAUGUUUUAAACAUUACAUUAGAAUAAAAAAAAAAAAAAAAAGCUUACACCUAUCUCUUAUUACUAGUCGUGGAUCCAAAAUAAAGAAAGUCAAGAACCCUCUGCGACAAGCUGAGACUCUGCGACGAGCUAGGACUGGAGUUCCAAAAUUUAAUUCUACACAAUAGAAGUUUGUAAGUUGGGAGAUGAUCAUAAUUAUAGUAGAAUUGAAAGUACAACAAAAAGUUUUCAUCAACUUACAAAAGCAUCUGUUGUUGUCUGUGAAACGAACUCCUCAGUCCUAUUGAUACAUAUCAACUCGACAAGGUCGACCAGGUGACUGCAUUCUUCAAUGAGCUUAGUCUGUCUUUAAAUAGACGAAUUUGUGCCGCUCCUGUGGUUGUAAGGCUGCUUCACCCUAGUUGUCUUUCAAAUAUUUGAUUGCUCCUACAUUCAAACAAUGAUUAUCAAAAUGUUAUAUUUUCAAACAACAAAUUAAAUGAAAUAAUGUUAAUUAAUUUUAAAGUAGACGAUAUAAAUCAUCUAAAACUAUCGAGUCAUGUAAUGGUAAUAAAGAAACUGUCAAUCUUGCACUCGAUUGGCCAAUCUCAACGGCGGGUUUGCGCUCAAAGUCGUUGUACUUCUUGACAUGUCGGUGGUUGUCUCCCCUGAAUUUCUUUCACACGCUGAGCAUUUGAUGCUCAACAAACCAAUUAAGUGUUGAAUCUUCAAGAUCAAGUACGAAAAAUUGCUACAAAAGAAAUAAGUUUGGGAUUAGUCUUCAUGUAAGUAAUUGAACAUAUAUAUAUAUGUUUAAAAUUUUACAAACUUACCGCUAGGCCGCCCUUGACGGAAAGUCGUUAAUUAUCCACAACAAUGCUACAUUCAACUGAAAACAUUGAUCCGUAAGACAAUCAUACACACACACACCAAAAGUCCUAUACCAAUAUACUAACAUUAGUCAUGAUGAAUAAUAGACAUGCUCCUAUACCAAUAUACUAACAUUAAUCAUGAAAAUUUGAGGCAUUUCUCGAACAUGGGGCAGCCAUUGACAAUCGAAAAACUUUUGACUUUGAUGAACAAGGUAUAUGCCAAUCUCCUAACUUAAAAUACAAAAAAAGAUGUCAAGAUCUAACCAUUAUCAUCGAGCUUCUUUAAGGCAUAUGCGAUUCCUCUAGCCUGCAGGCUGCUCUUAAUGUUGGUGGGAUAAUUCUCAAUGCUCUGGCUAUUGAACAUUUCAUUCUUCGCCAUCCAUGCAAAACGAGAACGAAAUAUGUAAGUGACUAUCUUUUAUAGUAAACUGGAUAUACUUCAAAACAAGUACUAUUACUAUCAGUACACGAGGAGAUAAUUAUUCAAACGAGUUAUCUUUGAAGCCUUUGGAUGAGAAAGAAAGGUUGCUUCGACAUGCUUACGGCUUAGGAUAUCCAGAAGCAAAUGUGAAAUUUGCAUUGUGUCGAGGCAGCAGGUCAUCUCCUGCCGUAAGUGUCUUUCUUCUGCUACAUAUAUUAUGAGACUCAAAUAAAUCUUUGAAAGAAAGUUGACAGAAACGAAUUGUUGAAACUUUGUGAAGUUAAGGGUGUAUACUGCAGAGGAAGUGGCGAAUGAGUUGGGGUCGGCAAAAGUCGAGUAUUUGGAACCAUCAGUAGAGAUGACAAGCAAGAAGAAGAUAAUGGUGCCAAAGCUUCUUCAAUGGCACAUGAAAGACUUUGCAGACAAAAAACUAAAGAAGUUGGACAAGAAAUUCAAAGUAGAACACAAGAUCAAGGAAGGAGAUCAGGCACAACAGAACAAAGAACUUAAUUAAUUAAAAAAAAAAGUGUUGAUGAUGUAUGUGUUUGUUUCUUUUCUUCUCUGUUUUGUGUGUUCUUUUUUUUUCUUCUCUCUCUAUUUUCUUGUUAAAUAAAAAAAUGGUUUAAUGUUUGGAUGUAAAUUUUCCUUUGGGUUGUUAUGUAUUUAAUAUAUGACAGUUUGUUUUCCUUUGAAUUUUAACAAUUUCUUUUGGGUGUAUGUCGUGUAGUUUUUUAUAUAAAUUGGAGUGGAGGAGUUGAAGAUCUUUUGUCCCACAUCGACUAAUUUGACAAUCAGGAUUUUCUUUAUAUAAGGAAUGCGAUAAUGUAGCAUUCGCCGAGCUCGGUAGUGUGAGCUUGUAACUCGAACGGGGGCACUAAUGUGGCUGGAGGUUGGUCCAGCUCACCGAGUAGGGUAUUUGCGAGAUAUAUUAUGGCCUGCCCAUUCCAAGUAGAGAGUUGGGCGUUGGGCUUCGAGCGAAGGCUUGGAGAUCAUUGCCACUAGAGACGGAGGAAACCGCGUGAGGCUGGUUUCACAGAGCAGCGUAACCUCCCACUCUUGUCGGUGGAAGGAUUACAGGCCGUUUCUCGGUUGCCCAUCGAAUACUCUGUGGGUAGUUCUCAUCCCAACAUCCACUUUUUAUUUCAUUUUUUUCUUUAAAUAGUAUACAAAACUGUUCGACUUAAAGUCUACAAAACUGUUCUUUCGAAUCGAAAAUAGAUUCGACGUUCGAACUUAUAUCUAAUUCAAGUAAAUAUUAAACAAAAAUAUGUACUAUAUUAAAUAUAAAAUAGAAAUAUUGUUCUUAGUUCUUUCGAAAAUAGAAACGAAGUUAAAUUGUUUCUUAUUUUCUAUUUUCUUGACAAUAUUCUACGAUAAAUAUAUUUCGACUUAUAUCUAAUUCAAGUAAAUAUUAAACAAAAAUAUGUUUUAUAUUAAAUAUAAAAAAUAAUUAUAAAAAAUUUAUGUAUAUAUAUAUAUAUAUAUAUAUAUUUGAAGUCUUUGCAAUCCAUUGGCUAUGUUUUUUUGUCUGACCAUAGUUCCUCACUUAAUCCAUCAAUUUCAAGUUCGGAUGAUUUUCAUGGCAUCUAGAAUGUAAUAUUAAAAUUGAAAUAAAAAAGAAAAUCAAUAAAACUAGAAAGAGGAAUAGAUAAUCCAAACAUUCAAAGGUUGUUUUGUUUUACAAACUUCAUGCAUUGAAGAAGAAUAGCCCUUUCCCUGUACCUCUUUACUUGGAUGAGUAAAGACAACUAAUCUAAAUUCUUACCUUAUCUGUCCCAUUGCAUCUACAUAUACAUAAAACUUACAGCUCAAUAUAUACAAAGAUGAAAUCACACUAGUCUCUUUGAUGCACUAAGAUAUUGAGCUUGGAAUAGUAAAAUCAAGUCACUUAAAUUGAAGGAUCUUAUGUACAUAGGCAAAUGGGCUUCAACUCCUUUUUGGUUGCUUGUUUUGGUUCAACUGCUUCUCUCGAGCAACGAUUUGUUUCAGAUGGUUGAGCUUCAGGGACUUCCUCUACAUUAGAGAACAUGACUUCAGUGUAAGACAUGUGCCUAUGGUUCCUUCAUAUUCUCCAAUCUACAAAAGAAACUUAAACAAAUAUUUAUAUGAAAGUUUGAAAGAAAUGCCAGUUAGUCGCAAAAUACAGACUACAACAACAGCCUUGAAUCAAACCAAAAGAUAAGAAGGUAAGAUCAAUAUCAUUUAAAUUGUGUAUCAGCAUAAAUUUCUAUACAUCUACAGCUUAUCCUUGAAUCAAACCAAGAUAUAAGAGGUACUCUUAACAACAAUAGUAAACAGAAUAAUGCCAAGAGACUACACAUUAUGGUUCUGCUGAAGUACACUAGGUGAAAGCUUGUAUCUUAUUAACAACUUACAAUCUUAAAUUUGUUGUCGCAGAUAGUCAAUGCAUUUCAAUACAUAAACAAGAAUUAAACUCUUAAAACUCAUCAAUUACAUUCAAAUUUGUUACUAUAUUUGAUUUGAGGCUGAAUAGAACAUUAAAUUCUUCAAUGUAAACCGUAUGUUGAAAGGGGAAAAUAGAAAAAAGUUCAUAAAAAAGGAUUAGAACAAGCUGUAAAGAUAUAGAGUAAGACCAAAAUUAUUGUUCAAAGGACUUUACAAAUGUAAAUGCUAUAGCAACCACCAGAAUGGUUUCAUCAAGUGCUGUUAACUAGCAAGUUUGAAAGCAUCAAUGAAAAGACCACAAGCGAAACCCAUUUUGAAGUUGUUCAGUACAGCAAUGGGGAAGGUUACCUUUGGUCGACUGUAAUAAAAUCGAGUAACAUACUUGGUAAGGAGAACGUAUACCACAGCAGCAAAAACAUCAUUUACUCCUAAAGCUCCAAAUGACAAUGAGAUAGUCUGAAAAGCCUCCCAACAAUGAGAUUCCUCCAAAAAGGGCCCUCCUCAAAGAACUUUGAAAGUAAUUUCUCGAGAGCUCAGGCACGAGUCUAAUGUUGAGAACCUACGUGGAGGGAAAGGUCGUGAUUGAACCAUAUCGUAUCUCCAAUAUGAAGGAUUCAUUUUGGGAGUAAAGCCAUAAUUUAAGAGGCUAGUAUGGACUAAACUUGCAUAUUGUGCUAUCACUUCCUAUAUGACUGGAUAAAAAAAUGUUGAGAACCUGAGAUCAUUAAAGUGUAUUUUGCAUAAACUCACGAGCAUAGAACACAGGCUAAAAUUUGGCAAUGUUGUUAAGAAAAAAAAUGACCCAAGACCGCCCACAAGGCUAAUUAUCACUAAAUGGCAUAAAAUCAGUAUAAACCAAGCAAUGAAGGAUUGGAGUUCUAAUUUGACAAUGAACAAUGAUGACAAUAAGCAGCAAACACAUAGAUUCAGUUUCAAGAAACAAUAUCCACCUUUCCACUAAACUUCAGCUGAAAUUUACUGUAGAAAACAAAAAUCUCACAAACAAAGAUAACAAAAAGGUUUAAAUAUUAACAAAAUUCAUCUUAGAAUUGAAAAUUUGAGGAACCCAAAACAGAAAUGAAAGGAAAAUGGGAGAAAAUUAGGGGAAAAUGAAUACCAAGAAUUUGGUUCCCAAGUUCAGCUUUGGGAGUGAGGAACAAGAGAAGAGCUUCCUAUUGACGGAGCAAAGAGAAUCAUGAAUUUGGAAAUUGAUGAAGAGGAAAGGGUAGCUGUACGUUUGAUGAAGAGGAAACUUGAGAAAACUAUAGGCAUAACUUGAGAAGAGAGAUAGAGAAGAAAGCCUGAGAACGAAGAAGAAACGGAGAAUGAAGAGAGCCAGAGAAGAAAUGGAGAACGAAGAGAGAAGAGGAAACUGGAGAGGAACUAAACGAAGAGAAAUGAACAAGAGAGAUGGAGAACCGGAAAAGAAAGUUGAAGAACGAGGAGGAGAAACAGAGGGAUGAGAACAAGGAACAGAACGAGGAACGGAACGAGGAGAAACUCUUUUUUUUAUUCCCACAAAUUUCUUAUUAAAUGGGAAACAUUUCUAAUUAUUUUGAGAACAAGAAAAAGGAAACGUGACCAAACACAUUCGCUUAUUAAAAGAUUAGAAAUAAGAAACAGAAACGUUACCAAAUGGGCCCUUUGUUUCAUUUCUGGCAUACACAUCUUGUCUUGCUUUCGAGAGACAUUAUCAUCUUUCAAUUCACAGUGUUCAAAUCCAUCUCUCAACUCACUCAAUUAGAUGAUGCCAAGAUCACUAAAUGAGUAAGCAUUGAAUGAACGAUGCAUUGCCUUCGCACAUUUCUUUCUAUACACGAGACUUUGAUUCAGUUCAGAAUAAAUAAGGCGUCUCUAAGUGGAAUAGAAAUAUUUUGUUCAUUUAGAAAGUCAUUCUAAACAGGUCUUUAUACUGCUACUGUUUGAACUCUCUGCUUGUUGAGUCUCAUGGAUUUCCAUAUUCCAUGGAUAAUGUAUCGACACGUUAAGCUAUUUGGAAGAAACCCUGCUUUUAACAUUCGAUCUUGCAGCUCCAUCAACUUUGUUUCAUUACCCACAUCACGGUAAACCUUAACCAGAGAAUUGAAACUUUCAGAGUCAAAGAACUGAAAAUCUUUGGCAAAUGAGACCAAUAAUGAUUCUGCUUUAUCAGCAUUGCCUUCUUUGCAAUAUCCGUUUACCAAUGCUCUACAUAUUUCAUGAUCUGGAAUCACUUCAGAUUCAACCAUUUCCACCAUUAGACCUUCACCAUCUACACUUCUGUUGAUUUCACACAUACAGUGUAUGAGAGACUUAUAUGUAUCAGUGGUAGGUUUGUAAUUCCUGUUUAUCAUUUCCAGUUUCAGAAGUAGUGCCUCAGACACAUUAUUACUUCUACAGAAAGAUUCAAUAAGCUUAUUGUAGAUAUCAGAAUCAGGUUGGAAACUGUCUUCAAGAAUUCUCUCGAGAAGACUUUUAGCUGCGAAUGGACGAUCUUCUCGACACAAUGAUAUGAUAAGAUACUUGUAGAUAUCGUGAGCAACAGUGACUCCAAGUUUCUGAAUCUCUACAACCAAAUUCAAAGCUGAGAUCAACCUACCUUCUCUUCCAUAUCCUUCCACCAAAAUCCUACAAGUGAAACUAUCUGGGUGAAUACCAAUUCCAAUCAUCUCGUGUAGCAAUGAUCUUGCCUCUUGCAGCAUUCCAUCCUUACAAUAUGCACCAAUUAGCGUAUUGUACAACACAACGUCUGGAUCCAUUCCUCGGUCAAUCAUUCGAUGAAAUAGCUGAUGGGCUUCUCUUACCCUUCCUAACCUACAAAGACCCCUCAUCAAGGAAGUAUAUGAAACAAGAUCAGGCAUCACACCUCUCCUAUACAUUAUCUUAUACAAGUAAAAUGCAUCUUCUAAUCUACCUCUUCUGACAUAGCUAUCAAUCAAAGUAUUGUAAGUCACAACGUCGGGAUCAAACCCUUCCUCUUCCAUCUUUUCCAAGAACCCAUUAAUCUUAUUCACGUCCCCAUCUCUACACAGAACAUAAGUCAAAAUAUUAAAAGUAUAUGCAUUUGAGUGAACUCCAAUCCUCCCCAUCUCUUCAUAAAGCUCCCAACAUUGGGCAUCAGACUUCAUCUUCGCCAGGCCAUUUAGAAUACAAUUACAAGCAAUCACAUUUGGGACAAAACCCAAUUUCACCAUCUUCUUGAAGCUCCAAUAACUUUCAUGAAUCAAAUCCAACUUCACAUAUGCCUUAAUUAGCAUUUCAAAGAUAACAGGGUUCCAAUUACAGUGCUCAGUGCACAAUACCAAAUUCUGAAAAACAUCCUCACUACUUGAGACAUCUUUAGACAAUUCAAUCAAUUCAGACAAAAACUUCAUCGCCAAAGGAAAUUGUCGAGACCAAGCCAAAAUGUGGAUAAUUAGGCAAUAAUUGUGAGAACUAAGUCUAAUAUCCAAAUCAUAUUUAACCCAAUUGAAAAAAGCAAGAGCAGAGACGAAAUUAGAUUGGCACCUCAAUAAAAUCUUGGAGAUUUGACGAUGACCCAAGUGAGGAAUAAGCUCUUUAAUGUGGGAUUGAAGAAGAGCUAACCUGGGGUUGUUCGUUUUAAGAUGCGAAGAGACGAGUUCAACGAUAUUGAAGGGGUUUUGGUUUUGUGGAAGAAAAUGGUAAAGAGGGUUGACGAUUAAUUUAGCUUCGGAUUCAGGAAUUGAUUGCAAAAAUGUUGAGGAUGAAGAAGAAGAAGAAGAAGAAGAAGAAGAAGAUAAAGUUGAUUUAGAGAAUGAAGUGUGGAAGAAGAAGGAUUGCGCGAGUUUAGGAAGAUUGGAAGCUGUAGUUCGAAGCAUUGGCUAUGGAAAUAUGGAAAUAUGGAAAUAGAAAGAGAAGGUAGCGAUUUGCAAAACAAAAAGAGUCGAUAAAGAAGAAAGGAAGAAGGCAGCGAUUCUAAUCGGUUAUCAAUGAUCAAAGGCUUUACCCACAUACCAGUAUCGGAGCGGUGUGAAGCUGAUCUGGGAAAAUGGGAGAGUUACUGUGGGCCGAAACCCAUUUCAGCCUCAAUUUCGGCCCACUCUUCUCGUCAGGGAAAAAGUGAGGAGCAAUUAUAAGAGGAAAUACAAAGAAGUUAUGUUGACCAUGGAAAUAGCAAAUUCAACCAAUUGCAUCAGCUAGGCCCAAUACAAGUUUGUGGAGGUCCAAAGCCCAAGAUCGACAACACUAGGCUUGAAACCAAUCUAACUAACUAAUCAACACGUUAAAAGGGGGAAAAUAAAAGUAAAGAUUUGAGUCUGACAUUGUUUCUUUCCCAACAACUUUAAUAGAAAAAAUGGUGUUAAGUAGAUGGACACAAGGAAUGCAUGGGGAUGGUUGUUGAUAUAUGCAAGCAAAGCAAUGACAAUAAUAAAUAACCAUGUGCAAAUGAUUGCUCUAAUCAAACUCACCAUAUUACAUAUCAAUCAUUGUUCUUCCACUUACAUUUAAAAAACAAAAACUCCUUUCUCUUACUAAACAAAACCAUCAAUUAUUUUAAAUCAAAAAUAAUAAUGUACGAAAAAUAUUAAAGAUUUAAGGAGAAAUUUAAUCUUUUAUUUAUUUGUUUUUACCUUUUUUAUAAAAAGAAAAAAAAAGUCCAAACAUUCAAUUGUAUUUAAUAAUUUUUAUCAUUAAAAAAAAAUCAAAGUAGAGGAGGAAAUAAAACUUAUGGAAAUUAGAAUUACAUCAUCUUUUAUAACCAUUUUAAUGCCCCAAAUUUAUAUGUGAUAAAAGAUUACAAUUUGUAAUAAGUUUAAACUAUUUUAAAAAGAAAUCGCCAUAAAUAUAUGGCAGCUCGAGUUAAAAAUACCCCUGAAAUUUUAAAAGUUUAAAAGUGUUCUUAAACUUUAAGAAAAUGGUUCAAAAAUACUUUACUGUUAGUUUUGAAUGAGAUCCAUUAAAGGUUUGUUUCAAAAUAGCUCUAAAAUAAUUGUGGAAAAGUGUCAUAAAUAUCUUUGAAUUAAAAAAAAAUACUCUUAUUUAUUCAAAUUUUAUACUAAUUUUUCUAUUGACCAACAUAAAAUUAAUUUUUUUAUGAAUUAUAAAUAUUUUAUCAAUUCUUCUAUUUUCUCUUCAUAAUUUUUCCUCUUUUUUACUUAGGAUAUAUAUGAAACUUUUCAAUAGUUAAGAGAUAUUUUUUAAACAAAACUCUAACUAGUUUCAUUUAAAAUUAACGAUGAAAACAUUUUUGAACCAUUUCAAAUGUUUAAAGCAUUUUUGGAACUUUUGAAAGUUUAUAAGUAUUUUUUUUUACUCAAGCUACGUAAAUCUAUGGAUAUUUUUUUAAAAGAAAAUAAUUUUAGCCUUUGUAAUAUUAGUAGCAUGUAUUCUUUGACUACAAAAUCCAAGUCCCUCACUUGACCUAUUACUAAAGAUUGAAUUGCAAAUUUUGUAUCUAGGAAUGGAAGAAAGAAUCAACCUAGUUAUGAUUUAAAAACUUCGAUUUUAGUCUUUAUAAUUUGAUUAUAUUUCAUAAAUAAUAUAUAUAUAUAUAUAGUUCGAUAAAAUUCACGUAAAUAGUAUUUAUUAUAAAAGCUAUUUAUCAAACUUAAUCUGAAUUCUAAUUUGUAAUAAAUUGAGGACUAAAUUCUAACUUUUUCAAAAAUGGAAAAAAAUGUUGACAAAAAGAACAAGCUAAAUAGUGAGCUGAAGUGUAGUAUUUUGUUCUAAAAUAUGACUAUCAUUUUAUUUCAAAUUACUAUCUCUACGUUAACAUUUUAACACAUUUAGUUUUAUUUAAUUAGGGUGAGAUUAAAUUAUUAAACUUGAAAAUGAUAAUCCAUAUCUUAUUUAACUAAUAGUUCUAAAGUUUGAAGAAGUACUUAACAUAUUUUAUCAUUUAUAUUUGUAAAUAUUUUCUUAAUUUUUCGUGUAUAUAUAUAUAUAUAUAUAUAUAUAAUUUAAAAGCGAAAAUUUAAAUAUAUAAAUAAUUUUUUUUUGCAGAACAAUUGAGGAUAUAAUGAGGUAACUUUUAGGAAAGGUUUAGGUGUUAAUUUGAAAGAUUUGGACAUGCAAUAAAUUAAAGGGUAUAAUUGAGAUUUUCUUUACAAAAGAAGAAGUAAUAAAUGGUGGAAUAAUUGUAAAUGUAUAAAUAAAGGUUUGUUGGUAAGUCGUAAUUAAUGCCAUCUCUUAAGGGAAAAAAGACCAUAUUUAAGAUUCUCAAUUGAUGAACUUAAUGGCGAAGACUCAUGAGAAUUAAGUAUCAAACAAAUUAAAAUUAAAGUACCAACACAUUAAGUGUAUGUUUACUAAGUACACACCUUAUAUCACUAUUUAAUAAUGUGACAUAAUUAACAUAAUUUCUUGGAUAAGAGUGCAUAAAACAUUAAGAAUAUGUUCCAAGAAAAAAGGAAUAUAUUCCAAAAGUAAGAUUGAUAGAUAUAUACAUAUAUAUGGUAAAAGAGUCGACAAAAGAUACUUUAUAAUUAUUUAGUUUAAGUGUUAAUAAACAUGCGGUGAAGUAGAUGGUUUAUUCAAACCUCUAACCUUCAACAAUUUUGUUUUCUUCUAAUGAAAUACAAUCGUUGAGAGAAACGACUUUUUUCGACACAUUUUUAAGGUAUCGAAAAAAAUAUAAUGUAUGUUAUACUAGUGGCAUCGAGAAAAGAGUGAUUAUUUUUUCAAUUUUAUACCUUCACCCUUUCUAAAUGCUAUAAGUUUGAAGGCAUAUGCUUAAUCAAUUUAAUUAUGUUUAAAAUUUGAGGAACAGUUAUUUUUAAAUUCUUUUAAAGAAUAUUAUUUUAAAUGACAAAAACGAUUGAAAAUAUUUAUAUUUUUGAUAGACUGCAAUAUACUUACAUCUAUAUCUCUCAGCAUUUAUCACUAAAGUGAUAGAUAUAUAUUGAUAAAUAAAUGUAUAUUGAUACAUAUUUUAAUUCAUUUUACAAUAUUUGAAAACAAUCUUUUUAUUAUGUACCAUAUAAUAACUUACUUUAAUUGCAACAACUUAGAUUUCAUCCCCGUUUCUCUUUCUUAAGUCGUACACAUAAUUAACCACCUCAUCCAUAGAUUUUAAAAAGCCUAGUUAAAACUAUUUUAUCUAAACAUAUUUAACUAUGGAUCAAUCGAAGAUUUAUAAUGAUCUAAUGAUUGCAAUUAAUUACAUUAUAACGACACUAUUUGGAAUAUUAUUUUUAGUUGCUUUGUUAACUCUUAGUAACAGCUUGGCUUUGUGGAUUUAUUCUGUGAAAGAGAAAACAUCAAAUUAAGUGAUUGAUUGAUUAUUACAAAGUUACCAAACUUAUGGUUGAAUGAAAGACAUAUUUUUUUUGGAUCAGUUGAUGAGUGAUAUGAUACUUAAAUCAACAGUACAAACAGAAAGCUAAGUAGUAAGUUCAAGUUUUUUCUUUGUGUGUGUGGAAAAGAAUAGGGGUUUUGAGUAGGUCAAAUAUAAGAGCUUUGGAAGACCUGUCUGUACUAUUACCAAUACCAAAUAUAUAUAGAACAAUAUAUAUAAUAAAUAAAUAAAUAAAUGAUUUUAAAAUUCAAAUACUAAAAUAUUAUUAUUAAAAAAAUAUAUAUAUAUAUAUAUAAAGAAGAAGAAUUAAAGUAUUAUAGAGAAAAGUUUGAAUUACAAUAUGACUCUUUCUUUGACAGUGACAAAUGAUUCUUAAGAGAGGGAAUAUAUUAAAGGGAAGAAAGCUAUGGUUUUUAUUUAUAUAUUAUUUAUAUUAUCUUAUUCUUAUGUUUCAUUUUUUUUAUUUUUGUUUUUUGUUUUUAAAUUUCUUUUCAUCUUCUUAGUACAAAGAACUAUUUAGAAUAAAGUUAUUAUGAUCUUUUUUUUUUGUUUCCUCUAAUUGUCUCAGCAUCACUUUGUGGGUCAUUUCUUUUUUCUUUUUACAAUUUUCCAAUUAUUAUCCAUUUGCAUAUUGUUAUAAUUUAAAAUUAGUGCUUUCAUAAUAUAUUUAAAUUCCGUUUAAUAAUAUUUUGUUUUUUUCUUACUAAUGUUUACAAAAAAGAUAAUAAUAAUAAUAAUAAUCAUACCAAUCUUAAAUCUAAAAAUUAGUAGUUUUAUUUUGAAAAUUUAGUUAGAUGAAAAUUAUUGUAAGAAAUUAUUUUUUUUUAAAAAAAUAGAAUUAAUUUUGAAAACCCAAAAAUAAAAAUAAAAAACUACCAAACAAGUCUUAAAGUUUUUUAAAAUUAUGUCUUUGUUAAUUUUCUCACAAUUUCUUUAAAAUGGUUUUCAUCUUUAGUUAGGUAUCAUUUCGAAUGGUUCAUAUACAAAUUUCACGUUCUAAUUAACUUUUUUUUAAGAUUAUAUUUUUUAGUUUUCAAAAUAUAACUAAAUUGAAUUUAGUAGAUAGUUUCUUGAAUUAAAUGGUAGUUGUGAUUUUAGUCUUAAUUUUAAAAAGUAAAAAUUAAAUAGCUAUUAAAGAAUAAUAACGUAUAUUGUUGGUCCACUUUAUUAAUUAUUCUAAUUGUUAAUUAUAUAUAAUGAUGACCUAGUAAUUUUUUUAAAAAAAGUCCAUAUAUAUAGCUUAUAAAUUGUCCAAGUUGAUCUUAGAGUCGAUGUUUAAGAUUUUGUCAAGAAAUAUUUUGCUUGUAGGGCUAAUUCAAAUCUUCAUUUUUUACACUUCAUGGAGGUUGGUUUACUGUCCAUUUUGCUUUGUUGAUUUAUUUAUAUAAGAAUUAUGACUAUCAUUAUAUUAAACUAAUUUAUCAACAUAUAAUAACAACCAUGCAAAUUAGAUUAUGUCUUCGUCACAAUACUAAUUAUAUCUCAUAUACAAAAAGUUAGAAAUAUUUACAAAAGUAUAGAAAAUUUUUAGAUUCUAUCAACGAAAUCCAAACAAUAUUCUAUACUUAUUGUUGAUGAUUAUUUUUAUAAUGGGUAUAAUUGACAUAUAACACAAAUAGCAACUACAAAGUCAAGUAGAGAACACAAUAUACAAGCAGAAAGUGAUAACUUAUGACUCAAAUAGCAAUAGAAAAAAGUGGUUAGCUCGAGUCAAGCCCAAGCCCAAGCCCAAGCCCCAUACCCAGUGUAUUCGAAAUCGACCCUACCAAAUGCACAAGACAUGUUUUACACACGCCUCUAACCAAAAGAUCAUUUAGAGCCCUAAAUAUGGCAUAAGGAAAAUGUUUGGCCUUAGGCCAACCCUAAGCAAACGAAAAAUAAAAAUGUCCCUUGACUCGAAUCCUACCCAGAAAACUUUAAAGAACAAAUUAAAAUAAACUUUCAGUAAAUACAUCAUUAUAACUUCAUUUGAGGUAACUUAAAUAAUUCUACCUUUAAACUCUAUAACUUACACGUUUUUCAUCCCUAUGACAUAAACAAUAGAGUGAUGGCUAGUAUUAUAUGUGUUUUGUUAUGAACAUUCACACUAGUGGUUAAAAAGAAGAAAGAAAGAAAAUGGUCAUUCCAAAAACAAAUGAUAAUGGGAAACUUCAAAUUAGUUCCCUCAAUUUAAAAUUAUGUAUACUUAGUAGUAAGUUGCGUAUGGCGCCAGCAGAAAGGCGUCAUGAAUGAUGAUGAAGUAAAAUGACCAAAGAAACCAAAAUUGUAAACAAUAUUCACAAAACUAGGAAGGAUUUCAAAACAUGGAACCGCGUUUCAAAUGGUAGAGAAAAAGUAGAAAAUUUUGGGGAUAAGUGCUUUUUUGAUUUCCUUUGAGUAUUUAAAGAAUCACUCAUCAAAUUCUAAAAUCCAAAAAAGCCAAUAAAAGCUUAGCAUCAUAAUCCAUUCCAAUCUACAAAAGUGAAAUGGCACUCACUUUAAUUACCCAAAAACACCAAGCCCAUUUUCGUAAUCAAGUUUCUAUAUAACUACAACUCACAAACUUAUUCCAAAAAAAUGUUCUAAUAAAAUCAGAUAUAUACACACACACACCAAAAUCUCUCCAUAUAUAUAUAUAUAUAUAUAUUUCUUUCUCUCUCUCUUUCUCUAUGAUGAAAAUGGCUAUUGGUCCAUCUUCACCAAACAUCCUUCCUUCUCCCCAAAUUUUCUCCAUCAAAUCCUCACAUUCAUCCACCUUAAUUUUUGUAAAGUUCAAAACUUUCAUCCACACUAUCAUCUUCUCUCAAUUUUGCCGAUUGGCUCGAGCCAUCUCCCGAGCCAAAUCGACAGUGGUUCAUAUUCUAAAGAAAAGUUAUCACUACAAGGACAAGAACAAGAACAAGAUCUUUUUCGGUUCGUUUAGGCUCCAUUACAAUUGGUGUUCUUCCCAUGUGAUGCCCGUGCCCGAUCCCAUAUGGGAAUUAGGGCACUUUUACUACGACCAUGCUACCUCCACAGCUGCCGAUGGCUCGCAACUGUCUGGAUAUUUGCAGUGGUUGGAAGAGAGAAAAUUGGAGAGUGAAACAAUGACGACGGCAACGGGAACAACGGCAGAAAUGAAUGAGAUCGACAAAUUGGCGGAGAUGUUCAUUGCAAGCUGCCAUGAGAAAUUCAGGUUGGAGAAACAAGAAUCUGCUAGGAGAUUUCAAGCAAUGAUGGCUAGAAGCAUGUGAAAGCAAAACAGAAUUGAGAAAGAAAACAAAGAAUAGUUGAAAGGUUUUUGGGGAUUGGGAAAUUAUUAAAUAGAUGAAGGUGAGUUUGGAGGGGGUGUGUGGUAAUGUUUUUGUGAAAUUAUUAUUGUUUAAUGUAAAUUAUUUGGGGGUGGAAUCAAUCAUAUUUUCAUCAUAUCCAAACAUUAAGCUACUUAAUUAAAUUAGUUUUCUUUAGGAUAUAUAGUAUGUGUUUUAUCUUUUGAAAUAUUUCUCCAUGUUUUAGAGUUACACAAGCUGCAUGAUCUACCAGCUUUGAUAUCAUGAUUAUUUCUUACUUUUUUUUAUUCCUUUAGAAAUUUGGUUGAUAAAAUAUUCAAAAGUGUUUCCAAAAAGCAAGAUAAAGAACAUCAACCACAGUUUUACUGGUCCAAAACCAAACCCCUUCAAAUCCAUUCAAUUGCAUAAAUUUUGGGUCAUUUUCUGUCCGGAAUAAUUGAAAACUUGAUAAUUGUUUUAAAUGACAAAACUGUUCAAUUUAUAUAGUUUUCAAUAUAUCAAAAUAUCAUUGUAUAACUGUAAUUAUCGCAUUGUCUCUUGUUAUCAAGUGAUAGAGACGGUUUCUUUCAGGCAGUCGGUAAAUAGUGUACCAUAUUUUGUUAUAUUUAUAAAAAAAGUUAAAUGAAUUCCUCGUUUGUAUCGUAGAAACGAAAAGAUAAAAGGAAAAGAAAAAUAGAGAGAAUAAUUAGCUAGACAGAGGAGUAUGGAUGAAUCACUUUCAAAUUUUAUUUUUCCAGCUUUUUUGGGGUUAAUACGGUGUCGUUUAGUUGAACAUUAGAGACAAUUCCACAUGUCAAAAAGGGGAAAA
rnacentral:lncRNA from 1 species